UGUGACUUCUCCCCUGCCACAG
rnacentral:miRNA from 1 species